rnacentral:rRNA from 1 species
GGGAACGUAUUCACGGCAGCGUGCUGAUCUGCCAUUACUAGCGAUUCCAGCUUCAUGCAGGCGAGUUGCAGCCUGCAAUCCGAACUGAGACCGGUUUUUUGCGAUUGGCUCCCCUUCGCAGGUUAGCGACGCUUUGUACCGGCCAUUGUAGCACGUGUGUAGCCCUGGACAUAAAGGCCAUGAGGACUUGACGUCAUCCCCACCUUCCUCCAGCUUAUCGCUGGCGGUCUCCUGCGAGUUCCGCCUUUCGGCAUGGCAACACAGGACAAGGGUUGCGCUCGUUGCGGGACUUAACCCAACAUCUCACGACACGAGCUGACGACAGCCAUGCAGCACCUCGACUCCACUCCCUUGCGGGAUAACCGUGUUUCCACGAUCGUUAAGAAGCCGUUCGAGCCCAG